rnacentral:rRNA from 1 species
UUUUUAGGGCCUGCCCCAAAAAGGUAAAUAAUUCAACAUCGAGGUCAUAAUCUUUUUCUUCUAUAAGAACUUUAAGAAAAAAUUGUGCUGUUAUCCCUACGGUAGCUUGUUUGAGUCUCAUUUUGAGGAUGAGGCGCGAGAAAGAAAGAAGAUUUAGUUUUUUACCGCCCCAGUUCAACAGAAGUAAAGUUCGAUAGGGUCUUGUCGUCCUUCUUUGUUAUACAAGUUUUUUUACUUGAGUAAAAAAUUAAAAUAGUUUAGGUAAUAAAGAAAUUCAUAUGUCAGACCUUUCAUACUAGCCUUUAAUUAAAAGGCAAAUGAUUAUGCUACCUUAGCACAGAUUUAUUGCGGCUAUUAAAAGGAUCAUUGAGCAGGUCCUACUGAGUAUAAAUUCAUUCAGAAAUGUUUUUGGUAAACAGACAAUAAAUUUAGAGGCCGAGUUCAUAAACCUAAAGUUAAAAUCAAGAUUGGGAGGGAGUGUUAAAGGGGGCAAAGUGACGGGAAUUUUACUAAUAAAAUCAUUAUAGGUUUUGAGGGGGGACCUUCUUUUAAAAAUAUUUUGAGGAGGAAAAAGUAUGAGUUUGAAAACUUGGUGGACACUAUUAAUCCUAUAUUUUAGACGAGGGGGGGGGGCAAUAGAUAAAAAAGAUUAUCCCUUUUUAAAUUUUAGUACUAUUACUUUUAGAGAAAACCAGAUAUUAGAGAAUGCGAAUGGAAUUUCAUCUCUAUAUCCACUUUGGAAAACUUUGUGGAACAAGCUUGACAAGAGAAAAUAGAUCAUUUCAAUUUCGGGAAAAUUUCUUAAAAAAGUGGGGUUGAUUUUCCCUGAUACUAAAGGUACAUUUUAUUUCUAUUUUACAAUGAAGCGUGUUUCCCUCGCGGUUAUAUAACUAUGAAGAGUAAACAUAAAGAAAAAGAAUAUUUGUUUAAAUAAGGUUUUUAAAAUGGGUU